AACGAACGCUGGCGGCAUGCCUAACACAUGCAAGUCGAACGAGACCUUCGGGUCUAGUGGCGCACGGGUGCGUAACGCGUGGGAACCUGCCCUUAGGUUCGGAAUAACUCCCCGAAAGGGGUGCUAAUACCAGAUAAUGUCUUCGGACCAAAGAUUUAUCGCCUUUGGAUGGGCCCGCGUUGGAUUAGCUAGUUGGUAGGGUAAAAGCCUACCAAGGCGACGAUCCAUAGCUGGUCUGAGAGGAUGAUCAGCCACACUGGGACUGAGACACGGCCCAGACUCCUACGGGAGGCAGCAGUGGGGAAUAUUGGACAAUGGGCGAAAGCCUGAUCCAGCAAUGCCGCGUGAGUGAUGAAGGCCUUAGGGUUGUAAAGCUCUUUUACCCGGGAUGAUAAUGACAGUACCGGAAGAAUAAGCUCCGGCUAACUCCGUG
rnacentral:rRNA from 1 species